CAUCCUUACUUGGGCAUUGAGUCAUCUCAUCCUGGCUAUCCUGCCUUCAUGUCCCCUUCAUCUCCCAUUAGCAGGCCUCCUUGUGCCACACUCUUGACAUGUAUCUUCUUCUGCCUUCAGGAUCUUCUGCCUGGAAAGCUCCUGUCAGACAUCAGAGAGAGCCAACAUUUGAGAUGAUGACAGACACUCUGGAUGACACGCAUCAGAAGCAUUGCUAUUUUUCAGAAAAGGAGAUUUGGGGAUUAUUUGUUACUGCAGUAUAUCCAGACAUUUCUGAGUCAAUACAGAAACGUAGCCAUUUAUUUUUAAACUUUCACAAUAUGAACUGACAACAAUAUAUCAAUUCAUUUUCCAA